AGCGUUGUUCGGAAUUACUGGGCGUAAAGGGCUCGUAGGUGGCCAACUAAGUCAGACGUGAAAUCCCUCGGCUUAACCGGGGAACUGCGUCUGAUACUGGAUGGCUUGAGUUUGGGAGAGGGACGCGGAAUUCCAGGUGUAGCGGUGAAAUGCGUAGAUAUCUGGAGGAACACCGGUGGCGAAGGCGGGUCUCUGGGCCGAUACUGACGCUGAGGAGCGAAAGCGUGGGGAGCGAACAGG
rnacentral:rRNA from 1 species